rnacentral:rRNA from 1 species
GGUAGAGGAGCAUUGUAUUAGGGGUGAAGCCCAAGCGAAAGCAGGUGUGGACUUAAUACAAGAGAGAAUGCUGGCAUGAGUAGCGAGAAGGAGUGUGAGAAUCACUCCCGUCGAAACCCUAAGGACUCCUGAGCAAGGCUCGUCCCCUCAGGGAAAGUCGGGACCUAAGGUGAGGCCAAAAGGCGUAGCCGAUGGAUAACAGGUUUAUAUUCCUGUACCGCUUAAAGUCGCUAAUAGAGAAGUGAUGACGCAAGAGGAUAAGCUAAGCUGCCCGAUGGAUGGCAGUCUAAGCACAAAGGCUG